AAAAACAAGGGGACGCGCAUCGGCACCAACCCUUGCCUUACAAUCCUUUCCUGGCCUUCAGAUUGUCGAAGCAUCCCCGGCUACUUGUUUUAGCCUUCUCGGAUGAUUUCUGGUCCGAUCUGCUCACGCACGGCUCCAGACAGCGGCGAGACGCGGCGAGACGCGGCGGCGGCGGCAGUGUGUUGCAGGAGUUGCGACUGAGCGAAUUGUCCGCAUGAACGCAGCUGUCAUCCAACACCGAGCGCGUCAAACCGACCUGGGCUAUGUUUCUCACGAGCCGUUGCUAUGGCACCCGACCACAAGACAAAUGGCAUUCACCCGCAGCAACUACUCAAAAACACGCCGAUCAAGCGGCGACGGAUGGGCGGCGGAGUCCUCGUCCUUACCUGCAGGUCGAUCGGCGCGCUCCUUCCUUAAUUGUCUGCCUGGUUGUUUGUUUUCCCCAGCGACGGCAGCAUCCCUGGGAUCUUUUUUUUUUCUUUCUGUCCUCCCUUCUUUCUUUUUUUCGUCUUUUUUUUCACCUGAAACCCAAACAACUUCCGGGCCCAUGCUGGGAUACAGACAGAGCUGUUGAUCCAGUGAUUGUCGAAUGCAUCGAUACACACAUAGGACACAAACAAUAUGUUGACGUUUAUAGCUUUAUAACAACAUAGGCUCUUAGAAAUUGCACAAUCACAGUGAGAAUGUGUGUUUUGAGCGCUAUCAGUCUAGCAAACCAGCAACAAGUUUUACGUAAAGGCCCGGAAUGUGUAUUAUUAUUUUUAUUAUUUGCACUUAUCUUGAUCAUUAUAAACACUUAUAAGUAAACAUGUACAGUACCUGCUGAUACACCCGAUAAUGACAGCAGGUAAAAAUUAGUAAUGACUUUGCUUCUUUUAAUAUUACAUUUGUACCACAAGAUGGCAGCAAAUUGUUGUUUUUGGCACAAUCGAACAGGCGUAAAAUUCUAUUGCAUUAGGCAAAGUACAAUUCUGUUAUGAAACAUCUGUCAUGAUGUUCAGGUUUUGAGAAAAAUAUUCAUUGCAGAAAUUUAUUGAAUAAAUUUAAACAGCAUGGUUUUGUACAAACAUAGCUCCAAAUAAUUGAUCUGACAUUUCUGUGUUAUAGCCUUUUAAAAUCUAACAGAGAAAACAUUUUUAAAUCACCCAGCGAAACAAUAGAAUUAAAGAAUUAUCUUAUCUUUUGCACUUCUGAAACAAACACCUGCACAAGUCUAUAAGUCUUCAAAUGAGUGUGAAGUUAAAAGAAAGUGAUAGGAGGCCAUACAAGGUGUUGCAUCUCUCUGACUGACAGGAAACGUAAUUCCAUCAUGAGAUCAUGCCAGGUGAAAAAUUUAUCCAUCCAUUCAUUGCUUUAUGCAUAAAGCAAGUAUAGACAAUAAAUGUUGUGUUAGCACAUACUAAAUGUUAUGUUACUAAAUGUUAUGUUAGCAAUAUACUUGUUAAUAUAAAGCAUAUUGUCUAUACUUGCUUUAUGUUAGGUUCAGUGUCACAAGGGAGCUGGUUUCUAUGUCCGCUGGGCAAUAGUAGACAUACAGAAUACAACAUGUACAAGUGACAAGUCCUUCACAGGGCCAUAAUAGAGACAGGUGUCACAAACAGUCACUCAUACCCGCAUUCAUACCUUAGUGCAAUUUAGAACCUGCAAUUAACAUAACAUGCAUGGUUUUGGCUGUAGGAGGAAAGGCGAAAGAACACAGGGUGUGGAAAAAUGGGUUGAGUGUUCUCAUUUAACUUUACCUACAGCUUAAAUCUUUCCAAAUCGGAAAGUUCUAAAAAUCAAAUAAUAAUAAAAAAAAAACCCAUCAAGGUAGAUUUCAAAGCACGCUUCCUUUCAGAACACAGAACUGAAAGAAAUAAUGAGGAUGAAAUGGGAUUUACAUGCAGAAAGGCCCAAAUGUGAAUCUGCAUGUAGAACAUGAAGAUGAAGUCAGAAUGUUGUUUGGUGCCAUGCCAAUCCAAUGGAACAUGUGAAGCUGCCUGCCUGAUAAAAAAAAUAAAUUUCCCAAAUUUCCAAACGUAUGGACAAUGUAGAGACAGGUAAAUUUGCCCGGAAGGCAGCAAAUGCAACAGUGGACAUUGAUAUUUUAGACACUUUUCUUGUUCCAUCAGUCCACAAGGAUCGAUGAUGAUGACGAAUCUUCCAAACACACAAACAAAGAGCACUCAAACCUUGCUUAAACUGUCAACAUAAUAACAUGUCCUGCAAACCCUGCAAAAUGUAUCUGAAACCAACUGACGAUUUAUUGUAGGAACUGCAACUGAGAGAUGCUCAAUAAACAAGACAUAUAUUUUUGUA